UUUUGCAAAGAUCAAGUGGCUCGAGGGCAAAGGACAUCAGGUAAGGUUUGAUGCUGUAAAUGAUGAGGUCACCAGCGUGACCUGGUACUACCAGGUGGCGGAUCAAGCAUCAGCAAUCAACUCUACACAUGGCUCUCAUUAAGGAUCUUGCUCACAUUCUCAACAGUUUCAAGUUGGCAGUGCUGAGUCUUGAACCCCUGACCUUCUAAUCAGAAACCCAGAAAAUGACCAGAAUUCUUAAGGUCAAAAACCCAGCCCCACCAAGCUGACACUGUUAGUCCCUUGAGCAAGGCCUUAACCCUCAACUGCUCAAAAUCCUGUAAAUAUAGAAUUUCUCUUUUUCGAAUUCUACAACCAUGUUGUGGCAAAGCAUUGAUUUUGCUUCAAAAAUGACUGUACUGACUUUGACUGACUUCACUAGACGUGACCGGAGCAAUAUCUUGACAUGUAAAAAGCGUCCACCACCUCACCACAUUGGACCAUCUGAUACUCACAACAACUUGCCACAGGUUUCACGCCGAAUGCCCGUCCUGACACAAUCCUCCCAUUUUAUCUGGGCUUGGGACUGGCACUGCAUCCAGUGGCUGGGUUUGGGCAUUUUGAUACAAUGUGCCGGAGCAGUGGUGUAGGUUGCUGCGACAUCAUGUGCUUUUCAGAGCUGGGGCAGAGGGUUACCACCUUGGGGUGAUUGGCAGUCACAGUUAAAACAGACCGCACCCUCAAUCAAUCCCAGUAUGAGUACAUCAGGAGCAGGGGCGUCUCCACAGGGAGGAUCAGCUACUGCUGAUGUGCAGAGAUGCUGUGGUUCAGAUACGCAAACAGGAGCAACACUCAGCACGGUGCACAACACACACAGCUCAGCACUUUACUGGGACACAAACACUGGCAUGUAGUGCAGUUAGUGACAGCAGCUCUGAAAUGUCAUGAGUAUGAUAAGCUGAUCCAGUUUUCGGGAAGCGACGUUCUCCUCUACCUAACCAAGUCAGAGAACUGGAGUUGUCAGAGUGUGAAGGUGCGCAGGGAGCUCAUCAAGGUCGUAGCAAAUACUGCAAAAAACUAGAUUUAGAUUUUCCUUUCUUGUGUGUUUUGUUUGCCAACAAUUUAUUUAUAAACGUCUAAUCAAGAAUUAAAAGUCUAGCUAGAC